rnacentral:snRNA from 1 species
GCAGGCGACUUCCACCGCUAC